CAGAAUACUCAGUGACAGCUUGAAGAU
rnacentral:piRNA from 1 species